rnacentral:rRNA from 1 species
CCUACGGGCGGCAGCAGUGAGGAAUAUUGGUCAAUGGGCGCGAGCCUGAACCAGCCAAGUAGCGUGAAGGAUGACUGCCCUACGGGUUGUAAACUUCUUUUAUAAAGGAAUAAAGUGAGGCACGUGUGCCUUUUUGUAUGUACUUUAUGAAUAAGGAUCGGCUAACUCCGUGCCAGCAGCCGAGGUAAUACGGAGGAUCCGAGCGUUAUCCGGAUUUAUUGGGUUUAAAGGGAGCGUAGAUGGUUUGUUAAGUUAGUUGUGAAAGUUUGCGGCUCAACCGUUAAAUUGCAAUUGAUACUGGCAGGCUUGAGUACAGGUGAGGUAGGCGGAAUUCGUGGUGUAGCGGUGAAAUGCUUAGAUAUCACGAAGAACACCGAUUGCGAAGGCAGCUUACUAAACUGCCACUGACGUUGAUGCUCGAAAGUGUGGGUAGCAAACAGGAUUAGAUACCCCUGUAGUC